rnacentral:rRNA from 1 species
UACGGAGGGUGCGAGCGUUGUCCGGAAUCACUGGGCGUAAAGGGCGCGUAGGCGGUGCGAGAAGCGUGUGGUGAAAGGCCGGGGCUCAACCCCGGCUCGGCCGUGCGGACUCUCGCGCUUGGUGAGUGCUGUAGAGGCGGGCGGAAUUCCGGGUGUAGCGGUGGAAUGCGUAGAGAUCCGGAAGAACACCGGAGGCGAAGGCGGCCGGCUGGCGAUGUAUUGACGCUGAGGAGCGAAAGCGUGGGGAGCAAACAGG